rnacentral:rRNA from 1 species
AUUGAACGCUAGCGGGAUGCUUUACACAUGCAAGUCGAACGGCAGCGCGGACUUCGGUCUGGCGGCGAGUGGCGAACGGGUGAGUAAUGUAUCGGAACGUGCCCAGUAGCGGGGGAUAACUACGCGAAAGCGUAGCUAAUACCGCAUACGCCCUACGGGGGUAAGCAGGGGAUCGUAAGACCUUGCACUAUUGCACCGGCCGAUAUCGGAUUAGCUAGUUGGUGAGGUAACGGCUCACCAAGGCGACGAUCCGUAGCUGGUUUGAGAGGACGACCAGCCACACUGGAACUGAGACACGGCCCAGACUCCUACGGGAGGCAGCAGUGGGGAAUUUUGGACAAUGGGGGCAACCCUGAUCCAGCCAUCCCGCGUGUGCGAUGAAGGCCUUCGGGUUGUAAAGCACUUUUGGCAGGAAAGAAACGUCGCGGGCUAAUACCCCGUGGAACUGACGGUACCUGCAGAAUAAGCACCGGCUAACUACGUG